rnacentral:rRNA from 1 species
AUUCCUGUACCACCUAUAUGACUGAUGGAGUGACGGAGAAAGCUAACGAGGGCCAGUUAUUGGAUUCUGGUCUAAGUGCGUAGGCUAGUAUGUUGGUAAAUCCGCAAUACUAUUACAGCUGAAACAUUAUGGGGAAGCAAACCUUCGGGUGAGCGAACUCUCGUGAUGCUAUGCUUCCAAGAAAAGCUUCUAGGGCUAAUUGUAUAGGUGCCUGUACCGACAACCGACUCAGGUGGUCAAGGAGAGUAUCCUAAGGUGAGCGAGAGAACUAUGGUUAAGGAACUCGGCAAAAUGACCCCGUAACUUCGGGAGAAGGGGUGGUCUAGCGAUAGACCCGCAGUGAAUAGACCCAGGCAACUGUUACCAAAAACACAGGUCUCUGCUAACACGUAAGUGGAUGUAUAGGGGCUGACGCCUGCCCAGUGCUGGAAGGUUAAAGAGAUUGGUUAGUAUGACGCAAGUCGAUAAUACGAAGCUUUGAACUGAAGCCCCAGUGAACGGCGGCCGUAACAAUAACGGUCCUAAGGUAGCGAAAUUCCUUGUCAGGUAAGUUCUGACCCGCACGAAAGGCGUAAUGAUCUGGGUACUGUCUCAACCAUAGACUCGGUGAAAUCUUAAUACCUGUGAAAAUGCAGGUUACCCGCGACUGGACGGAAAGACCCCGUGGAGCUUUACUGUAGCUUGAUAUUGGAAUUCGGUAAAUUAUGUAGAGUAUAGGUGGGAGACUUUGAGACUAAAGCGCCAGCUUUAGUGGAGUCAACAUUGGAAUACCACCCUUAGUUUAUUGGAUUUCUAACCUAGGACCAUUAUCUGGUUCAGGGACAGUGUCUGGUGGGCAGUUUGACUGGGGCGGUCGCCUCCUAAAAUGUAACGGAGGCGUUCAAAGGUUCCCUCAGAAUGGUUGGAAAUCAUUCGCAGAGCAUAAAGGUAUAUAGGGAGCUUGACUGCGAGACCUACAAGUCAAGCAGGUGCGAAAGCAGGACUUAGUGAUCAGGCGAUUCAGAAUGGAAUGGUCGUCGCUUAACGGAUAAAAGUUACCCCGGGGAUAACAGGCUGAUACCACCCAAUAGUUCACAUAGACGGUGGUGUUUGGCACCUCGAUGUCGGCUCGUCAUAUCCUGGAGGUGGAGUCGCUUCCAAGGGUUGGGCUGUUCGCCCAUUAAAAUGGCACGCGAGCUGGGUUCAGAACGUCGUGAGACAGUUCGGUCCCUAUCCGUCGUGGGCGCAGGAAAAUUGAGGAGAGCUAUCCUUAGUACGAGAGGACCGGGAUGGACCUACCUCUGGUGUAUCUGUUGUCACGCCAGUGGCAGUGCAGAGUAGCUAUGUAGGGAAGGGAUAAACGCUGAAAGCAUCUAAGCGUGAAGCCCCCCUCCAAGAUGAGUUUUCCCAUUGUUUAACAAGUAAAAUCCCAGAUAGACUAACUGGUUGAUAGGCUAGAAGUGGAAGUGUAGCGAUACAUUGAGCGGACUAGUACUAAUAGAUUGAGGAUUUAAUCGG